GCUCGCUAGCGCGUAUAUUUUCGUUAAGUUGAAGCCCCUGAAAAUCCCUUAAAUUGGAGGAUUUCUUGCUCUCCUCCAUACGUGCUAAAUCUUAACCUUUGAGAGAAAGGAAGGAAGAGUGAUUGGAAGGAACAUAGUGAUCCUGAUGAUCAAAGAGGAUUUUUUUAUAUGAUGUGUAUCUUCUACGUUUAGACCUUUGGAAACGAGUGUAUCAAGUGUAGAUGAAAGAGUAAAUAAGUAUAAAUGAAAAUUGUGCUUCAAAGUUUGGAUUUGGCAUCAAAUUUUAAUUCAAAGGAUCCAUGAAUUUAAAUAUCUAAGAAUUUAAGGAUUAAAAGGAUUUGUAAAAAAAAUCUGAAAUAUCAAAGACAUUUUAAAAGUCAAUAAAAUUUAAUUUAAAAUCCAAUGGCCUAAAAGUAACCAAAAGACCUAGAACUUCAAGAUUCAAUUUUUGAAUCCAUAUUCAAAAUAACAGAAUUACAGAAUCAUUUGAUUAAGACUUGUAUAAAAAAACGAAUUAUUUAUAAUUACCAAAUACUGUCCAACAUUGUUUAACCUCACAAUUAAGCUCAGUUUCGAUAUAUAUAUUUAGAAAAGAAGUGAUCAAAAUCAAAAAAUUUAUAUUACUAUUUCUAUUUCAAAGUCAAAAAUUUCGAGUGAUGAAUCGAAUCAGAGGCAGCGUUCUUGCGUUAUGCAAUCAACACGUGCGUGCAAACUGCACGGGAUUGGCUUAACGAUAUGCAGACGCGCUCGCUUAUUUUUUUCGGGACCAGUUCUCCGGUGAGUCAUCGGUCUGGACUCAUUUUUGCACCAGGUUUAACGACCCCGUUUAUCUGUAUCUAUCUCUUUCUUUUCUCUUUCAUAUAGCUCGUUGAUCGACCUGUUUUUGUGUUAAUGUUUUUCUUUUUUCUCGAGAUGUUUUUCGAAAUUCAUCUCGUAAUAUCGUUUAAUUUAUAAUUGAUCUUUGUAUAUUAUAUACAAAGAUAUUUUCGAAUAAUAUGUAGAUAAUUGAUAAUAUUUUAAUAUGAAAUUAGAAUUGAAUUUUUAUUUUAUUUAAUAAAACAAAUUUUUGUUAAUAAGAUAGGAAUAAUAUUGAUAAUCGUUAUUACCAUAAGGAAUAAUGUUUGUCUGUUAUUUAAUACAACAGAAUAUUAUUAAAUUAUAUAUAAGCAUUCAUUAUUAUUUAUUAUGAUAAAUAAAAAGUGUUCGCAAUUGAUCAGCUGAUUAGAAGACAACAGUAAAGUGCAAGAAAAUUGAUCAAGGAUAUCGACAAGUUGAUCGAAAGGAUUCGAUAUUCGCCACAGUGGAAGUUUCGAGGACGAAUUUCCCGUUGGCCACUUAAACUGCGCCGACACGUAUUUCCCAUGCAUUUUAAGGAUUUUGGACAGCGUGAGGGGCCCGGUGUUUUGUCGAAGUAUGAGCACGUAGUUGUCGUGAAAGGAUCAUAGAGUGGACUUAGCUCGGGAAUCCCGUGUAAAACUUGGCUGGAAUAAUAAAGUUUUGUCUCCUACC